rnacentral:lncRNA from 1 species
UUUUUGGUUAUAUCCGAAGCUUAUGAGUACACAUGUAGUGUGGCCUCUAACAGAAGAUAAGUUCUGUUUUAUUUUUCUCGAUACUGAACUAGUGGUGAAUUAUGGCGAUUGUUUCAUUAGCUACAUCAUAUUGCCUCUAAAAUAUUAUUUUUUAUGGCAAUUCAUUAUUUCUAAGACGAGGAGAAUAAGAGAUAUUUAGUGN